rnacentral:lncRNA from 1 species
UUUACUUGGUGAUCUGACUAUUUUGAAGCCAGCAGCUCUCUGCUUCAGUUCCUCCUGACUUGCUGCAAUGAUUUAUAGGGUUCCAUUUCUGGCCACACGGAGGCUGCUCAGGAAGCCAAACCUCAUGGCAUGAAGUGGGGCAUUUCAUCUGAGGCUGGAAAUUGUGAGAACACUUUGCCAGGUUGUUUAUUUCUUCACUGCAUGUUAAGAAGCAUUAGCUUAAAAGGCAACUGACAUGGAACUAAAAUUUUUUCACAUGCGAGGAUUUCCAAAACAGUCCAAACAAGGAGAUUUUUAGUCAUUUAAAGCCUGCCUGUUUUGCAUCUUCCAUGAAAUCUCACCCAGUAUCUGCUGGCCAUGGAUAAGAUAGAGUCUUGUAGUUACAAGACCCGAAGUCAUGACUGC